AUCACUCUUUUGUGGUAGGGCCACAUCUGCCAGAGCCUGGAGUCUGCGAAGGCCGGGACCCGGUUCCCCGGCCCACAGUGGGGGUGUGCAAACCCGAGAGAACUGGGUUGCAAAUUCGUGAAGAAUCAGCAUCAUGUUUGGCAGCUGAGUAUUGGAGCCAGGAGCCUGCCAUGAGCCGAUGCAGCCUCAGUGUUCCUUUGCCUUGGGGGUUUCUGAGUGGUGGGGUUGUAAGCAGAUCCUGCCAGGCACCCAGAAGGAAACCUCAUCAGGACUCCCUCAGAAAGCAGGCCCUGAAGAAUCCUGUGACCUUCAUCUAAAGUAGGUCAUGAGACCCCUGAGCUUAAAACGGAGUGAUCGGCUUUGGAGAAGUAAGGAGACAUGACGUGCCUGCCCUGGGGUGGGGACUAAACUUCGUGCCACUCCACGUGAAAGGGGGAGAAAUCCCUGGAAGGCACGCAGGCUGGACAUCAUCAUAUAUUCUCUACAGAUGGAGACACCAAGGCCCACGCCUUCUGUGCUGUUGGAAUUUCAGGAAGGAUGGGGGUGGGGCACGGCCUCAGCCCUGGGCAUGUUCUGCAGAUUGCACUGCUCUUAUCUGCCAGGGGGUGGUGAGAGGGUGGCUGAGCUGGACAGAUGGCGGGCAGGGACGGGCUCUGCGGUCUGGCAGCUGACAUUGAUACAAGCAAAAAAAGAGUCUUUGCUGGGG
rnacentral:lncRNA from 1 species